UACGAAGGUGGCAAGCGUUACUCGGAAUUACUAGGCGUAAAGGGCAGGUAGGCGGUUCGGUUAGUCUGUUGUGAAAACCUAAGGCUCAACCUUGGGCUUGCAGUGGGUACGGGCAGACUAGAGUGCGGUAGGGGUGACUGGAAUUCCGUGGUGUAGCGGUGGAAUGCGCAGAUAUCAGGAGGAACACCGAUGGCGAAGGCAGAUCUCUGGGCCGUAACUGACGCUGAGGAGCGAAAGCAUGGGUAGCAAACAGG
rnacentral:rRNA from 1 species